rnacentral:lncRNA from 13 species
GAGUGGGCAGAGAGGAUUACGCACAGAUCUGAGCCUCAACAGAACAGGAAGUAACAUAUAUGGAUAUCAUUGUGCACAAUUUUCAGGGAUGCGUUUUAGCUGGCAGAGGAAGAAAGCGAAGAAGAGGGGGAGGCCAACUGAAGUUGGUCUUUGACUUGAGAAGCUCCACUAAGUCUGGAUCAGAAAGUACCAAGGGACCACUGAACUUUAUUCAGGUUAUCUGCCGGUGAGUGUAUGAAAUAUCAGCACUAGUGUCUGCUUUUCCAGGACAUGACACAGACGCACAAGCAUGGCUUAUUAUUUGUGGUGUGUCACGAGGGUCAGAGGGGCAUACAUUUCUGUCAGAGAUAGUCUGAGAGCCAUAA